AUCUGCAUCCAACGCAGAUCGCUCAGACAAUAUUAGCAGAAUUAGCAUAUUAUUGGUACUUAUGAGCUCGUUGUCCUGAUGGAAUAGAAAUUCAACCGAUAUUCAUGUCAACAUCCUUUAAGCAAGCAGUAUUUUUAAAACUUUGUGUUUCUGUGAUACUUAAUCAGAAACAAUAUAGAAAUAAAAAAAAUAUAUUUC